AUGGAACAAUGUAGGCAAGGGAAGUCGGCAAAACGGAUCCGUAACUUCGGGAAAAGGAUUGGCUCUGAGGACUGGGCUCGGGGGUCCCGGCCCCGAACCCGUCGGCUGUCGGCGGAUUGCUCGAGCUGCUCACGCGGCGAGAGCGGGUCGCCGCGUGCCGGCCGGGGGACGGACCGGGAAUCGCCCCUUCGGGGGCUUUCCCCGAGCAUGAAACAGUCGACUCAGAACUGGUACGGACAAGGGGAAUCCGACUGU
rnacentral:rRNA from 1 species